rnacentral:lncRNA from 1 species
CAGAAAGAAGGACUUUGCUGCUUUGGGCCAGGCUCUGAACUUAGGUGUAAACCAUUGCCCUGACAGAGGGAACCUACCCAGUCCAUUGCUGCCUGCAACAAGAUAUGAACAGUAAUGGCACAUAUUUUGGUUAUGAGUCACUCAGUGGACUGUGGAUUGAAUGAACUGUAUCCAUCCCCAUCAUGAUGUACAGAACCAAGUCUCUUCACUACACUUGUGUUCUGAUUAGUGGCCAAAUAAAUGACAGUCAGAACUU